ensembl:lncRNA
GGAACUCAAUGCGAGCGCUAAUUACGUGAUUGAUGGUUGUUCAUGUCUAUGCAAUUUAACGUAUUGCUGUAAACCUGGGAUUCCAUAUUUCCAUUCUCUUAAACUCAUCUUUUCCUAACUUUCGAUCUUCCUGCAACUUGUGUGAAUGUGUGAGUGCGUGCGUUUAUGUGUUAGAUUAGCUUAUAUGUCUUAGAUUUAUCUAAUAAAGCCUUAUUCAUAUUGAAAAGAGAAGUAUCUUGUGUUUUGUGCUUACAAGUUAAUGUCUUAAACUGCCGAUCUUGUUACUGUGCUAAUUGGUAGUGUUUUCACUAUAGUUUGGAUAUUAGUAUCCAGCGUAGAUUUGAUGUUAAACGGCUCGUUCAGUGAAUCACAGUGAUCAGGCGUGAAACAGUGAUUCUGUUCAAAUUCCCUUUAAAAUCUUAAAUGAUUCCCUUUAAGCUAAAUUGACCUGUUUCCCUUACAUUUUUUUCUCGUUAUUUGUGAAGUGUAUCUAUCUUCGUAUAAUAUAUAUAGAUAUAUGAAGAGACAGUAGAUCAUCUUUUACUCGCUUUAUUUCAGCAUGAAGCAACCGCAUACACGUGAAUCUCUCUUGUGUUAUCUUCCUGUAUAUCCGUCACGCAUACGUAAGCUCUGACGUAUGCCCAAUCACAGAGCAUAACUGGUUCACGUGACAUUAUUAUUAUUAUUAUUGUUGAUAUUAUUCUUUUUAUUUAUUUAUUUUAUGAAAGGGGGACCUGGCUACACCUUUGCUACCAUACACCUGAUGGAUACUGACUGUAAAAUGGCAAUCAUAGUUCGAGCGCUCAGUGUGGGGACAGAAGAUGGAACAGAUGUGUGUUAGUGCACCAGCCUUGAUGAAGCUUCAUAACAGCCUUCUGGAUGUAUUCUGCUUUCAACAUUGCAUAUACACCACAACUGAGAAAGACACUGACUUUCCUUCAGAGGGACAUUGUCAAAAUUAGAAGAUGAGACAAGCUCUGUCAGUAACUUUACUUGUAUUUCUUGUAUUAGAUCCUCAUGCCUUGACUGUACCAUUGCCCAAAGUGCACUCGAAGGACAUUCACUCUUUUGAAGUUAACUCAACAUGUUGGAGUGGUAUGGUUUACUGGAAGUCUGUCAGUCCAGAUGUGAAGAAGAAAUACAGAGUGGAGCUGGAGCUCAGCAGAUGUGUGAUGCUGUAGAUACUGUGGUCUUCACAGCUUUCUAUUCAGACAAAGAAAACAGAAGUUUGCUGGAUUCUGUUCUAUGGACUGCUACUACAGAAUGAAUGAAUGAAUUAAUGAAUGGGUGGUUUAUCUAUCUAUCUAUCUUUAUCUAUCUAUCUUUAUCUAUCUAUCUUUUUACUUGAAUUGGUGACUGAAACUGAAAGCUAAAUAAAUGUUUUAGUGGAUAAAGCUGUGUCUGUUUGCUUAAUUGGUUAAUGUCACUUAAAACAAGGUUACUAAACUCUUCAGACUAAUUUUUAAAUUUAUUAGUUUUUAAUUUUUACUAAUUUUUCUUUAUCAGGCAAAACCUGGUUUUCUAGUGUAACACUUUACGAUAAAGGUUCAUUUGUUAACUGAUGUAUUAACUAAAAUUAACUAUGAGCA